rnacentral:rRNA from 1 species
AUUGAACGCUGGCGGCAUGCCUAACACAUGCAAGUCGAGCGGAGGAAGGGAGCUAGCUCCUGGAGGCAUCAGCGGACUUGUGAGUAAUGCGUAGGAAGGUGCGUGGCGGGUGGGGAUCAUGUCCUGAAACGGGGGCUAAUACCUCAUACUUCCUGCGAAUGAAGGAUGAGGAUCUUGCUUCCCCUGGCGCUCAGAUGAGCCUAGGUCUGAUUAACUAGUAGGUGGGGUAAAGUCCUACAAAGGCGACGAUCCGGAACUGGUAUGAGAGGAUGAACAGGCACCCUGGAAGUGAGACACGGUCCAGACUCCUACGGGAGGCAACAGUGGGGAAUAUUGGACAAUGGGGGAAAGCCUGAUCCAGCCAUGCGGCGUGAGUGAAGAAGGUCUUAGGAUUCGAAAGCACUUUAAGUUGGGAGGAAGGACAGUACGAUCAUACGUGGAUGUUGUGACGUUACCUAACGAAUAAGCACCGGCUAACUACGUG